ACACUAUCACAAUCUAUUAUUCAGAGUCAAGAUAGACCUGUAAUCAUAUAUGUAACAUCACGUGAAAUAUAACCGUAUACACUAUCAACAGACAUACUAUCUACUCUACUACCAAUUUUUACACAUUCAAUUCUGUCAAUAAAGAUCUUUAUUCUGUUGCUCUAUACGCUAGGCUAGGAGACUAGUAACUUCAAUCCCGACUCCAUUUCUACAUCAUCUGUGAAUAAUAGAGAGUGAGUUCAUAUAACUCAGUACAGCAAAAAUUAAGUUACAAAUAUGAUAUGCACAAAUAUAAAACCCAGUAUUUCUAUAUGUACCCUAUCACCCAACCUAAAUCCUACCUUGUUAUUACUAUGGGACUACGCAGGACUAAAACGUACCCUGGUAUCUUAAAUAUCAUGCAUACCAUGUGUGACCGUCUCCCAACGUCACCCCAAGCGUAGCAAUAUUCUCACCCGUCACCAGUAU
rnacentral:lncRNA from 1 species